rnacentral:rRNA from 1 species
AGUGAACGCUGGCGGUAGGCCUAACACAUGCAAGUCGAACGGCAGCACAGUAAGAGCUUGCUCUUACGGGUGGCGAGUGGCGGACGGGUGAGGAAUACAUCGGAAUCUACUUUUUCGUGGGUGAUAACGUAGGGAAACUUACGCUAAUACCGCAUACGACCUACGGGUGAAAGCAUGGGAUCUUCGGAUCUUGCGCGAUUGAAUGAGCCGAUGUCGGAUUAGCUAGUUGGCGGGGUAAAGGCCCACCAAGGCGACGAUCCGUAGCUGGUCUGAGAGGAUGAUCAGCCACACUGGAACUGAGACACGGUCCAGACUCCUACGGGAGGCAGCAGUGGGGAAUAUUGGACAAUGGGCGCAAGCCUGAUCCAGCCAUACCGCGUGGGUGAAGAAGGCCUUCGGGUUGUAAAGCCCUUUUGUUGGGAAAGAAAAGCAGCAGGUUAAUACCCCGCUGUUCUGACGGUACCCAAAGAAUAAGCACCGGCUAACUUCGUG